rnacentral:rRNA from 2 species
UCGAACGCACUGACGUCGACCGAAGCUGCUUGCAGUGGACGUUGAUUGACGUGAGUGGCGGACGGGUGAGUAACACGUGGGUAACCUACCCUUAAGUGGGGGAUAACAUUUGGAAACAGAUGCUAAUACCGCAUAACCAUUCAGACCACAUGGUCUGAAUGUAAAAGACGGCCUUUGGCUGUCACUUUUGGACGGACCCGCGGCGUAUUAGUUAGUUGGUAAGGUAACGGCUUACCAAGACAAUGAUACGUAGCCGACCUGAGAGGGUAAUCGGCCACAUUGGGACUGAGACACGGCCCAAACUCCUACGGGAGGCAGCAGUAGGGAAUCUUCCACAAUGGACGAAAGUCUGAUGGAGCAACGCCGCGUGAGUGAAGAAGGUUUUAGGAUCGUAAAACUCUGUUGUUGGAGAAGAACAGGGACUAGAGUAACUGUUAGUCCUUUGACGGUAUCCAACCAGAAAGCCACGGCUAACUACGUGCCAGCAGCCGCGGUAAUACGUAGGUGGCAAGCGUUGUCCGGAUUUAUUGGGCGUAAAGCGAGCGCAGGCGGUUUUUUAAGUCUGAUGUGAAAGCCUUCGGCUUAACCGAAGAAGUGCAUUAGAAACUGGGAAACUUGAGUGCAGAAGAGGACAGUGGAACUCCAUGUGUAGCGGUGAAAUGCGUAGAUAUAUGGAAGAACACCAGUGGCG